rnacentral:lncRNA from 1 species
CCACAGUGCCAGAGAUUUCUAUCAGUUUUGGAAUUCUUUUUUCUACAACAGGGCCAUUUUUCUUCCCAAGACUGGAAAAUUAAUGAAAUGAAGAUAGAAACACCACAGAAAAGAUGAGAAAGAAUCUUCAGCAUCUAUGAUUUCUACUUCAGGUCUUCUCAUCAUUGCAAAACCACGGAAAUAUUUUGUCAGUGAAUACUGAAAUAAGGCAAGAUCUGUUUACCAAUCCGGAAGUAAUCUUAUAUUUGAUGUUCCCAGGCCCGUACUUCAGGGAGAAGCAAGAACAACACUCAAGAACAGUAUUAUGUAUGAUCUUAUUGUGUUAAUGUAAAAAGAAUCAAAGUUCAGAGAUUGGCUAUAAAUUUUAGGUAAAAAAGAAGAAAAAUUUCUGUAGGAAAAAACUGUACAUAUCUUCAUAAUGGUCCUCUUGAGCUUGCUGUAUCUAAUGCUAAGAUACUGAAGUGUAGAUUCAAACUUCAAGAGGAAGAGUAAAAAUCUGUACAACUCUAAUAUAAAUAAUUUUUAGACCUAGAGCAGAGCUCAUACAAAUUGAAAGUACUUUAUCAAAAAGUAAAGUCCAAAAAGGGAACUCUUAAUGCUGAACUAGCAGACUGGCACUAGAGUUAAGGCUAAAUUUGACUGAUGACAUUAUGAAAAGAUACACAAUUAAAACUGCUGUUAAAACCAACUUCCACAGCUUUUAAAUUAAGAUAAUAAAAUCUAUAUUCUAAGCAAUAUAGCAUUAUCAUUUCUGGCAAUUACUAAAGAAAUAUUAGACAAGAAAUAAAGCAAGAAAAUGUCAUAUGUGUUCCUGAAAUAAAACAAUUAGUAGCAAAAAUCCCAGAAAUGAUACAAAUAAUAGAAUGGGUAU